AGGAGGAAAGGAAGGGCGGACAUCAAAGGCAACUUCUCUGCUCAGCAGAUGAGCAGAUCCUUCCUCACUUCAUAUUUUUUGCAGAUGAACUCGGGGCGGGGGGAGCGGGAUUAACCCUUCGCCUGCCGGGCAGCCGCGGUGCCCCCGCCGGUGACAGGGACGGGCUGAGGCCGGCGGCAGAGCGGGGCAGUUUGCAGCCGGGGGGUGGCAAGGGGAACGGCCAGGCUUUUUUUCCUUUUUAAAGGUCCGGGAUGACACGAAUAGCCCGAAUACUUUGCAGCGGAGCGGCAUCAUUUUUUAGCGCUGACAAGCCUCGUUGAGUCAUUGAAUGAGCGAGAAACGGGGAGAAAAGUUGCAGAAAGGGGACUUUGCAGGGCGAAACGCGGGACCCGUCGGCGAGGCAGACCACGCAGGAGAGCAAACCCUAGGAAAUCGCCGGGGCUGAGAAGCAAACAGGCAUUUUUCAUCGCUGUAGUGAAAUCUCGGCCGUGCCCUCGGACAUCUUCCCGUCCACGCUGCCCGCACGAGGCUUUCGCUCCCGUUACGCCCCACGUCCUACGGAAACCUGCUCUAGGAUAAUACACACCGGUCUGGAUCAAAAGCUCUCCAAAGGCCUGCACAAUUUCAGCAAAGGCCUGUUUUGAUGAAAACCAGAAGGAAGGGGCUGAAAAAGGCUGCCUUCGCCCGGCUCGCCUCCAGCCCGUAAGCAGCUCCGAAUAUGAUGGGGGCGAUGGGGAUGGGCUCGUGCCACCACCGUGCCACCAUCCCGGCUCCCCCAGCACCCCCCAGGCUUCGGCACCACCUUGGCUAUUGCCUUCUGAAAGUAAGCCUGUGCACAGCUUUUUGCAGGUUUGGCUGACGUAGUGCACCACUUUUUGGGGAAAACCCCCUAAAACAGCCCUUCUGUAGCCUCCAUGCAUCCAUAGGAUGCCAUGUUCCGGGAGGAAGAGUAGCACGACGCCAGCCUCUAACAUCUAUUCGGCGAGUGUCACCACGAAACACUGCACGGAUGCGGUCCCCAGCACAACACCACAUCCAGCAGGAGGGAUGAAGGCAGAAAAAAGCUCAUUUUAGCACAUGAGGCUUCUCGAAACCACAAGCCGAGUGACUACGGGCUCGAAGUCAGAGAGCAGGGUAAGGCAGAUUGUGCCUGCGCCAAGGACAUGGGGAGUGGCACCCCAGGUCCUGCUGCGAGGAUCUGGGGGACGUUUCUGGACGAUGGCUCCAGACCAGGAGAUGCAGCCAGGUAGCAGCGAAGCGUGCGGGCAGUCUGAUCAGUGGGACGAGCAGGUUUAAUAGCCAGCAACUCUAUUUAUUUCAAGUCCAACAGUGUCUGCAAGGGAGAUUUUGAAGCCUUGGCACACAGCAGUUGCCGCCCUUGUGGGCACUUGUGGGGACACAUCCCUGGGGGACAGAAGGAGCCCACGCCGUUCCCACCACAGCGGAGGCUGCAGGAGCCCAGCCAAGCCGCGGGGAGCACCCGUGGGGUCCUGGCACCAGGCGUCACCGCUGCUGAGGAAGGGACGGAGCCUUCCCAAAGCCCCUUUCCCACCUGGGUGCUCAUCACCGGGGGUCCCCACCACCGCCCAUCCACGCCUCGUUUUUGCACCCUUCCAUGGGGAGAGGACAACCACCUCCGUCAGACGAAGGGACAGAGCAAUGGAAAAGCAGCAGCCCCACAAAGCUGGCUGCUGAGCAGGAGAGCAGGGCCAGGAAGGCUGCUUUCACCUGUGGGGGGGCAGAGGGGGCGGCAAAAGCUGCGGCUCCUCUGCAUGUCACUGCUCGGCGCUGAUCACCGCCCUUUGCAACCCGCCGUGCCCGAGCAUGGAUCCCUCAGAAACUCAUUUCCUUGCUCUCAUCUCAUCUUGCUCCAGUAAAGGCUUUGCUGACUAGCUUGAAGGGAAGCCGACAUAACCCAAACCGCGGGCUGCUGGGGCAUGGCCAUGCCCCGAUCCCACUCCUGCAGGGGGCUUCUUCCAGCCACCCUACAAGGGACUUGGGGUGGCACCAGGCUGUGGGCCAGCAUCCGCUGCUCGUCCCACAUCUGCACACACACACGGGGCAAAGGCUAGUGCAAAAAACAUCCCAGCACAUCUGGGUUAUCAGUGAUGCUCCUGGCUGCGCCCGUGUCCCACGCCAAGGGCCCCAAAACCAUCGCUGCCGUGGGUGAAAGCAGGGGGGUGCGGGAACGGGGCACCCGCAGGCUGCGCGUGGGGAAACUGAGGCACGGAGCAGCGCUGUGAGUCGCUUUUUUAGGUAAAUUUUUGAGGGAAAAAAAAAACAAAAAACAAACCUAUGACUACAGCGAGCAUUUCUGAUGGCAAACGGCAGGAGCGCAGGGCAGCUCUGCGCAGAGCCCCGAUGCCAAGCCGGUCGCAGCAUCCCUCCCCAGCCCUUCGCAGACAUUCAAGCUGGGAAUCCUGCUAAUGAAAGGAAAACAGAGAGACGCUGCGGAGCGGAGGCCCAGGGUGUGGUAACUCUAGAAGGCAGCGAGGAGGCAUGAAUGAACCCUUUCACUGGGGUCCAGGGAAGCCGGUGGCACAUGGGCCGGAGGAAUGCGAGCGCCCGGCGCACCGAGGCGCGCGCCGCGGGCCGGGGAGAGGCGGCCGUCGUUAAUCAGCGGGAUUAAUUCGGGGCCGGGGCCGCGGCGAGGAGCGGGACGCUGCGGAUCAGCAGCUCGGGGAGGGGAGCAGGAGGCCUGCUUCCCAAAGGCUGACAAGCUGUCCUUAUUUUUUCCUGUAAUUAUGUCUCUGAGGGAUCCCUAACAUUUACAUUUUUGUGCGAGCUGUAUAGUUUAUUCACGGGCCCGCUUCGCGAAGGGCUCCGCUAAUAAAUGGGCGUAUUGAGG